GACGUAGGAGGCGAGCGUUGUCCGGAUUCAUUGGGCGUAAAGAGCACGCAGGCGGUUUGGCAAGUCGGAUGUGAAAACCCGGAGCUCAACUCCGGACCUGCAUCCGAAACUGCCCGACUAGAGGUAGGUAGGGGAGAUCGGAAUUCCUGGUGUAGCGGUGAAAUGCGCAGAUAUCAGGAGGAACACCGGUGGCGAAGGCGGAUCUCUGGGCCUUACCUGACGCUCAGGUGCGAAAGCUAGGGGAGCGAACAGGA
rnacentral:rRNA from 1 species